AUGGACCAGCAAGUGUUCCUCGGCGUCUCCUGGGGCAAUUUGCUCACCUACAUGAAGCGCAACAGCGGCAUGGAUCCCGACAUGGAUCUCGACAUGGGCGACUACUAUAACGUGGUGCUCUCCUUCGUGUACGACUACAUCCCCGACCCUCCCGUCUCCCCCACCCCCACACUCCCGCUCUCCGGCUUGCCGCGGGUCCCCGACGGCGUCGACCGCAUCAGCUGCCUCCCGGACAAGGUCCUCCGUAACAUCGUCUCCCGGCUCCCCGCCAAGGAGGCCGCGCGCACCGCCGCCCUCGCCUCGCACUGGCGCCCCCUCUGGCGCUCGGCGCCCCUCGCUCUUGUCGACAGCCACCUGCUCCCGGACGGCGGAGCGCGCGGUCAGCUCGUCUUCGGUGGUCCUUCUCCCCGCGCCGUCACCGCCGCGGUGUCCCGCGUCAUGGCGGCGCACCGGGGUCCCUUCCGCUGCGUCCACCUCACCCGCACCACCAUGGAUGAGCACCGGGGUGAGAUGGCGCGCUGGCUCGACAUCCUCGUCGCCAAGGGGGUCCAGGAACUCGUCUUUGUCAACCGGCCGUGGCCGCUAGAUCUGCGCCUCCCCGCCACGCUCUUCAGCUACGCCUCCCUCACCCGCCUCUAUCUCGGCAUCUGGAGGCUCCCGGACUCCGCCGCCGUACCGCGCGGCGCUAGAUUUCCCAACCUCCGGGAGCUCGGCCUCUGCAUGAUUGCGAUGAAGGACCGUGAUCUGGCCUUGCUGCUGGAAAGAAGCCCCGUCUUGGAGUUCCUCCUCAUCAUGGGAUGUCAGAUCGGAGUGCGCCUUCGCCUCGUCAGCCAAAGCCUGCGGUGCCUUCAGCUCAGCAUGUUCUUCUUGGGCGACAUGGACGUGGUGGAUGCCCCUUGUCUGGAGAGACUUUUUCAGUAUAACACCAACAAGAACCGCUCUUCCAGGAUCAAGAUUGGCCAAGCACCUAAACUUCGAGUUCUGGGAUACCUUGAGCCAGGAGGGCAGGAAUUGAUCAUCGUGGCUGGGAGCAAGGAGAGCAUUGUUCCUAGUGUGCAGAUUUUGGCCAUGGAGGUGCAGUUCGGUGUGCGCAGUGUUGUCAAGAAAGUGCCUGGCUUUCUCAGAUGCUUCCCCAACCUGGAGACGCUCCACGUGCAGUCUCACCACAUAUCUGAAGAGCCCACCAGGAAGGUCAAUGUCAAGUUCUGGCUGCAGGGCGGUCCCAUCAAAUGCGUCGUGGAGAGCAUGAGGAAGGUGUUCUUGUACGAGUUCUGA
rnacentral:rRNA from 1 species